rnacentral:rRNA from 1 species
AUUGAACGCUGGCGGCAGGCCUAACACAUGCAAGUCGAACGGUAACAGGAAGAAGCUUGCUUCUUUGCUGACGAGUGGCGGACGGGUGAGUAAUGUCUGGGAAACUGCCUGAUGGAGGGGGAUAACUACUGGAAACGGUAGCUAAUACCGCAUAACGUCGCAAGACCAAAAAGGGGGACCUUCGGGCCUCUUGCCAUCGGAUGUGCCCAGAUGGGAUUAGCUAGUAGGUGGGGUAACGGCUCACCUAGGCGACGAUCCCUAGCUGGUCUGGGAGGAUGACCAGCCACACUGGAACUGAGACACGGUCCAGACUCCUACGGGAGGCAGCAGUGGGGAAUAUUGCACAAUGGGCGAAAGCCUGAUGCAGCCAUGCCGCGUGUAUGAAGAAGGCCUUCGGGUUGUAAAGUACUUUCAGCGGGGAGGAAGGGAGUAAAGUUAAUACCUUUGCUCAUUGACGUUACCCGCAGAAGAAGCACCGGCUAACUCCGUG